rnacentral:rRNA from 1 species
CAGCCCAGCGCAUAAUCUCCCGGGCUACCCGCCUGCGGCGACAUGUUGCGUAAAGGGAAAGGUCGUUACAAAGCCCUGUACAACAUAGCCAAAGUUUGGCUUGAAUUUCCACUGUAUUCUAACGGAUACUCCGGCUCCACAGAGGGUGUAAGACCCGUGAGGCUAUGUGGAGAAACUGUACAUGGGUUCGGCUUUUUUCCCUGUGAGUCGCGUUGCUUAAUACUGCAGCGCUCAGCAGGUCGUAAAUUCGACCUAAGGCUAAAUAUAUUCACAGAACCGAUAGUAAACAAGUACCGAAAGGGAAAGUUGAAAAGGACUCUGAAGAGAGAGUUAAAAGACCGUGAAACCGCUUAGAGUAUAAGGCAAUGGCAAUUCUGGAAGGCUUGGAGCAUGACUGAAAGGUGGUAGCCGCAAUAUGAGGACGAGUUUGCUGGUCCGCGGCGUACGCCUAGUAGGUUCAAUUUCAGGUGAAACCAAACACAAAGUGAAAUGGAUUUAAAUGUGGCAUUGAGUUGAUACCACUACAUUAUUAUCUUGCGGGUCUCUGACAGUGAGUACAGGGGAAGUGACCAUGUGGCACGGAACCCGAGGGCUGGGCUUAUGCAAGCGUUUCAUGACAUUCCUGAUUUUUUGAAGGCUCUCUAUACAGCCCACCGCAACUCUUUACCAGGUCACCCGAGUGUGGUACGAAUGAGAAAGAAGGGGUUAAAGUGUGUGCCUUGUCGUUGCGACAGUUCCUUUGUUAAGAUAACGUUUACAGGAGUUUGCCUUCCUCAGUUGUCGAGGGAUCUAGACAGGUGCAUGCUCUCUUUGUUAUAAAUCUCGACUGUGCCUGUGUCCAGGCACUCGUGGCUAUGAUCCUAAGUGAAGGUUGUAUCUGACCUGCCAAACUCCCGCUGAUCAGUUCGUAACAGGCUGGACGGCUCAAAUUGGCUAACGAUCGAAACGGUACUGCUGUGAUGGUUACGGCUCACUGGAGAUGUCGCUUAUGUGGGGCGGUGGUGAAAAUCCACUCCUAGCGUUUGAUGGCGCUGGUGCAGCUACGGAAGGCGGGAUGUGAUUGGAGGCUGGGAACGAGGCAGUACGGUGUAACAUUCAGAGCCAUUGCUCACGUCUCGAAACACGGGCCAAGGAGCAUAGCAUAUGCGCAAGUCUAAGGGAUUUUAAUCCUGGAGGCGAAGUAAGAGCAAUGGUGUGUGUUUGCUUCGGCAGAUGCAGUCGGCUUAGAGCGUAAUUCCCCUUCUAUAUGACGGGAUGAAUGCGUCAAAGCAUGCUUAAACUGGGUUGAUCCGAGCUAGGCCUUCACAAGCCGAAACUUGGCGCAAACCCCGGGCUCUCAAAUAUAAGGGGCAACCCUUUUGAGUAGCACCGAGUAGCGUGUAUGCUAUUACCCGAAAGAUAGUGAACUAUGCCUGGCGA